CCCUGCACACGCAGCACAAGCAGGCCCGGCUGCAGGCGCUGGAGACCAUGGCCGACGUCCUGCAGCAGCGUGUUGACAUCCUGACCGCCAAGCUGCACAGGACCGAGGUGUCUGACACCGUGCCCACUGUCCCAGCCUACCCGGGGGCCUCAGUGCCCAGUGAAGACAGAGUAUCACUUCACGAUGGCUUCCUGGAUGUGGAGGUACUGCCUUGGAUCUCAGGCUGGGAGCCCUGGAGCCCAGAGAUCAGCCCCGAGAGCCAGCGCCAAGGUACCAUGCAGGAGGGAUGCUGGCAGCUGGAGCAGAGGCUGCAGGGAGACUCUGUGCCUGUCCAGGCCCCUGGAGCCGGUGCAGGGAGCACACUUGGGGCACCUGCUGCCCCGCACCCCACCUGUGGCUCCCUGUGGCUGGAGGACUUGCUGGCUGCCAGAGGGGAGGGCUUGGUGACGCCCUGGACCCCCCGGAGCUGUGCUGUCACAGGACCCAGGAGGAGAGCAGAUUCCCAAGAGCCCAGAGGGCUGCACCCCAGAGGCCGAGGUGGGCACCUUGCUGACUUCCAGCUGAAGUCCUUGAGCUUCCUCGAGUCACUGAAGCUGGACCAGCGGAAGCAGGAGCAGGCUCUGGGGCUCCUGCGGCAGCGAGCGGAGCAGGAGGUCUGGGAGACACAGAUGGCUCUGGAUGGGCUGCUCUUCAAGCACCAGCUAGAGCGGCUGAUGGAGAAACAGGGGGCCCGCACCAGGCCAGGAAUGGACUCGAAGCUGGAGCAGCCACACGCCCACGUGGACCCAGAGCCCACAUCACUGGCCCAGAGUCCCAUGCCCCGCAGAACCAGGUCACCCCCAGCCCUGGGCAGAGAUGUCACCGGGUCCUUCCAGGAUCCUGAGGAGGGGCAAGCCAGUGCGGAGGGCAAGUUGGCUUCUGCAGGGCUGGCCUCGCUGGACACAGACCCCACCCAGCCGCCCCUGGCCCCGCUCAGCCCUCGGGACAGCCCCGAACACCAGGGGAGCUCGGUAAGGACCGGGAGCGCCAAGCCAGGAGCGGGCUUGACAGCCGGGCUGAAGCAGAGCCUGCGGGAGGAGGAUGAGCUGCGCGCGCAACACCAGGAAGCGCUGCUGCGCCUGCGCCAAAUGGCGAGAGAAGAAAAGGCCUGCGCCGGGCGGGCUUGGAUAGAGCACCUGCACGGACUAAGAGGCCAAGAGACCCUCCACGCCUUCCCUGAGACGGUGCUGGCAAGCACACACCAGGAGCUUUCCUUAGCGGGGACCCAGAAGCGGGGUCCCCCACGGUGUCUGGGGAGCCGGGGCCACCAAGCCACAGGGGCUGCUCUGUUGGAGCGGACAAGGCAGACCCUCUGCAGGCUGGAGAAGGAGCCGGUGCAGAGGGAAGUCCGGGACCUGUGGAACCUGCACGGGUCAGUGCUCCCAGGCAGGCAGCAGCUCCUGCAGCACCACAAGGCCAUUCUCACAGUGCAAAGGACCCCGCCCCGGCCACAGAGUCCCAGCCCCAAAGUCAAGGCCACUUGGGAAGGCCCCUCAGAGACAGGCCAGCCGGAGGGAGCCCUGUGCCUCCCGACACCACACAGGCCUGGCAGCUCCACCAGCCCACAAGUCCAGAGAGGUCCUGAGAGUGUGGAGGUUGCAAGCCUGGCCUCUGAGCGGUGGGAGGGAACACCUGCGACAUCAUCAGAUGCCGACGGCCACCAGCAGUCUCCAAGGCUGGCCUGGGGAGAGGACACAGCCAAGGCCAGCAGCCCACCCAAGGAGAGAGGCAGCCAUGCAGACCAAGGGGACCCUCAGACGCAGCCUAGAGCUUGCUGGGCCGAGAAGAGGCCCCCAGCUCAAGUGGGUGGCUGCCAAGGACCCAGCCUGCGACGCCUGGGAGCAGACGGUCCUCACUGUCCCCAGGAAGCAAGUGUGGCUGGACUAGAUGCUGCCGGGAUCCCCACAGAGGAACCCCUGGAAGUGGAGAGCGGGCUACCUGGGGAGCAGAGGACAGAGGCCUGUCGGCAGAAGGACAGCAGCGCCCUCCUGGCCACCUCCCCAGCAGCUCCUGCUGCCGUGGAAGAGGAUGCGAGAACCCCUGUGCACCUGGGCUCCAGGCCUACAGCUGGGCUCCCCUUGGAGUCUGCAGGGUCCCUAGCAUCGUCCCCCACAUCCUCAGCAGGUUCUGUGAGUGGUCUGUCCUGCUCCUCCCUCCAGGACUUCCAGAAAGCCACAGCUACUCUGGUCCAGCUUUCUGACAGCUCCCUCUCUGUGUCUGGCCCAGAGGCUGAGCGCAGCCAGGGCACCGACCCCAACUGGUCAGAGGAGCUGUCUGCUCACAAGGACUUUGGCUCAUCCUUGUUUGGGGGGCCCUACCAGGGUGAUCCUCAGCCAGAUGCUGUUCCUGGGGGUGCAGGGCAGGUGACCUGGCAGAGGCCAGAGCGUGGCCAGGCUGGUGCCCUGCCUGGCUCUCCGGACGUGGCUGUGGCAGAAGACUUAGUCCCAGAGCGGACCUUCCUGCAGGCAGGCUGGCCACUGCCUCCCCAAGAUGUCUGUUCUCCAAGGUCUGGCUCAGAGCUGUCAGAGGCCUCCAGCCAAAUUUGGGACGAGGGCAUUGAAGAGAACCUAUCAGAACCUGGUGCGGGGGCCGGGCCCACCUCUGGGAGCUCCUCGCCUCCUGGCUCUUCCAUCUUGGAGCACAGUGUGGUUGUACCUGCCUCGGGCCCCAGGCAGGGACAGGAAGCUUCUGGAACCAGCUGGAGCCUGAGCGGGGGGUCAGACACAGGGAGCACAGAGCAGGUGUCCCCUGAGGCGGCCUCUUCGAAUGACCUAGACCCAUCACUGUCAUUUCCUUCAGAGACUUCUGCAUCUGAAGGGGCUGGGGGCCAGGAGAGGCCCCAGGGUGCUGGCCUGAGCUUGUCCUCUGAAAGGAGUCCUCCACAGGCCUCUCCAGGGCCUGAGGUCCCCUGGGGGCUGGCAUCCCCUGUGGCCAAGCCCCAGGCCCCCCGAGUCCCAGAGCAAGCUUGCCCCCUGCACACUGCUGGUUUCCUGUCCUCUGUGGAUGGGGAACUGUCUUACGGCAGUGAGGACCUCCCACGUGCCCCCCCCUGGGCCACCCACCUCCCUCCACCGCCUCCCACUCCCCAGGCUGACAGUGACAGGGAUGAGGCCCAGCCCUGCUCCGAAGACUUCCCUUCCCCACCCCAAGAGGCCAUGGUUCCCCAAGACUCGCUGGGUCCCCAGCAGUCAGGGCUCAGCCUGGGGGCACCUGGGCCACAUGGAGGCCCUGAGGGUGAACUGGGUGGGUCAGGGCCUGCGGUGGGGAUGCAGGCUGUGGGUAGCCAGUGGUCCCAACAGGUCACCCGUCCAGAGUCACCCUUGGGUGAGGGGGUGGGCGUCAGUGGGGGGCUCCCCCAGGUAUCAGCACACUCCCUGCCUCCGUCCCAAGUGGCCUGCAUGGCAGGGGAGAAUGUGUCCAGGCUGUUGGUAGCUUGUGGCCCAGAUGUGCUGGGUAUGGGGCCCUGGGCCGAGGGCACCUCUGGCAGUCACCUUGGGCCCCAGGCAGGGGUGCAGUGCUUCACCAGGGCAGGGCACCAGGAAGGCUCAAGUUUCCUCCCAACUCCUCCUGGAGACCAGGCGGCCUGGGUAUCUCAUGGCCAGGCAGGGUCCCCCGGGCACACUGGUGAGGAGGGUGUGGACGGCCUGAGCCACUGGGCAGAGGACUCACUGGGCAGAGAGCUGCUCCUAGGGGAACACAUGGCCACCGGCCCCACCUCAGGCUCCUGCUCUGAUGUGGGCACAGAGAGGGACGAGGUGGUGGCCCUGGUGUCCACCCAGCUCACCCAGAGGAUCUUGUGUGACUCCAUGGCUGUGCUCUCAGGGCUGGCCCCUGGGGGCAGCCUCUAGUCCCUGCGAUGUUACUGUGUGUCUCAGUUGCCUUCCUCUCCUGCCUGAGACAAAAUACCUGCCGCCGGAAGUUAAGGGAGGAAGGGUUUAUUUAGCUCAGUUUGUGGAGGUUUCGGUCUGUGACUGGCUAGCUCCCAGGCAGAGGGGUGUCGCAGAGGAGAAGCUGUUUUUGGCGCCCACACAGUAGCCACAGCAGCAAGAGAACCUUAACAGAGUCUUUCUGCCCUUCUUACUCAAACUACUGGGAUUAGGGCAGUGCCAAGCCAAUCUGUGGACUGGUUUAGCAAUCACAACCCUAAUCCCAGCAUCAUACUAUAGAUCCAGCCACCCACAAUCUGUGGUGGUUUAGCAAUCACAACCCUAAUCCCAGCAUCAUACUAUAGAUCCAGCCACCCCGAACAAACCCUGUGACCGAAGGGGGCUCUGGGGACAUCUAGACCCAGACCGUAACACUGUGAGUGCGUGCGUGUGUAUGCCUGUGCCUCCAGAAGCUGGGCCUCCCCUUCUGGGGUACAGUAAUGCUGUGUGGCCACCCUGCUGCUGGCCAUACCGGAAGGCAUGUGACCAGGCAUCCAUUGGCUGGGUUCUCCAUAAGGGAGGAUGCACAGCUUCCUUCAGGGCUCUCUGGGGCCCUGACUGACAUCAGAGGGAGGAGUCUGUUCCUGGAGCACAGGCCAGGUGGGCCUCAGAAAGAGGAGUGCUCAGCUGCCUGUCUGAGUGGUACACUCAGUUUCCGUGGGGCGAGGCAGAGGACUGCAGGGCCGGUGGGAGGGGACAAUGGCACAGGGUCUUACAGUGGGACAGCUCAUUCAGGCCUCCCUGGAAGCCACUUCUGACUGUCCCAGGCUGUGCCUGAACCCCACCUUCCAGGCCCUUACGGAAGUGGCUUUGCAUGAGCCCGGCGCUCAAUGCUUACAGAGGAAGCAGUUUUAGGGUCUGUUUUCUGACUUUCACACAGGAUUUCUUGAGAGGAUCUGGAGGCUGUGAAGGAAGUCUCCCAGGUUACUUUCCACUCCUGAAGCAGUGUGUGCGCACACACGUGUGAAUUGUCACUUCUGCAAACCCUUCUUACUCAUCACCCACCUACUCAUCCAUGUGUCUCUCCACCUAUCUGUGGUCUGUCCAUGCAUCUUUACCAACUCCUUACCUUAAUCAUUUAUAAAUGAUGUCGGAGCUGAGCACAAGCCUAUAAUCCAGCUACUUCAGAGGCUGAGGCAGGAGAGCUGCAAGUUCAAGUCCAGCCUAGGGAAUUUAGCAAGACCUUAUCUCAAAAAAUAAAUACUAAAAGGGCUGGGGCUGGGGCUCAGUGGUAGAGCUUCUUUCCUAGCUUGUGUGAAGCCCUGGGUCCCAUCCCUAGAACUUCAAAAACGAAAACAACCAAAAAGCCAAGCGUGGUGGUGGAUGCCUGUAAUCCCAGCUCUCAGGAGGCUGAAGCAGUAGGAUCACCUCGAGUUCAAGGCCAGCCUGGGCGACACAAUCAAUUCAAGACCAACUUGAACUAUACAGUGAACUAUACAGUGAAAAGACAAACCCAGAAAUAACAAAACAAAAAACCCCAAAACUUCAAAUAUGUUUAUAAAUAAUUUGUAGCCCUGGCAGAAGCCAAUGUGCCAUGAGAGGGUGGGGUACACAGGAGCCACACACACAGCGGCUUUGGGAACUUGAUCCCUGAACAUUGGAAAAUACCACUUGGGCCCAGUAAUAUGUACAACUUCUGGGUUUUACGGACCAGUUCAAAUUAAUUUUUUAAAACCCACUUGAAUUAAAGAUUCUAAACUAGGAAAGAAUUGUUCUCAGGAAAUUAUUGUUUUCUCCUUGUUCAUGGGUGUGCUACACUUUACACUUUCUAUUAAGACAUAAUCCCCCUACCACAACAUUCACUUGUUUACACUGUACACGUGGAGAAUUUGAGACCCCUUAGAGUACUUAGUAUAUUCACACAUCCCCCCUCCCAGUGGGUGUGGGUCUUUGUCCCCCUCAGGCUGGGACCCCCAGUGAGAGGGCCCCUUCAUCUUACUGUACUUGGGCCCAAGGGCCCCAGACUUUCAUGCACCCGCGCUGCUUUAUCUUUAUUUGUAUUUGCCCAUGUCUGCAGUACAUAAUGAUCACGCUCUUCACGGAAGCUGGUGCAUGGACACGGCACAUCUCUGGGUUUGUUUUGUUUUUUUUACCUCCCCUUCUCUUUCCCGCUCCCUCCAUCUCUUGGUUCCCUUUCUUUUUUGCAGGAGGCCUAUCUCCUGGUUCCUAUUAUCCAUCCUUUAUUUCGCUCUUAUUUAUUCUUUGGGCUUCACAUAUCAGAGAACCCACACUACUGAAUCCUGUGCGUCUGACUGAUUUCACUUGAGCAGCAGAGUCUCAAGGCCUGGUGCUGUGUCCUCAGUGGAAGAAGCAGGCAGAGCAGAGGUUUUAGGUGCCAGGUCCUGGGACCCUGGAGACACCUUUGAG
rnacentral:lncRNA from 1 species